UACGGAGGGGGCUAGCGUUGUUCGGAAUUACUGGGCGUAAAGCGCACGUAGGCGGCUUUGUAAGUUAGAGGUGAAAGCCCAGGGCUUAACCCUGGAAUUGCCUUUAAGACUGCAUCGCUAGAAUCGUGGAGAGGUGAGUGGAAUUCCGAGUGUAGAGGUGAAAUUCGUAGAUAUUCGCAAGAACACCAGUGGCGAAGGCGGCUCACUGGCCCGAUACUGACGCUGAGGCACGAAAGCGUGGGAGCAACAGG
rnacentral:rRNA from 1 species